rnacentral:lncRNA from 1 species
CAUCUUCUUGGAAGUGGUAGAGAUUGGUUAACACUCCACAAGUGGACUGUAUGAGUUAAACCGUGACUCCCCUUCCUGUUCUUGUGUGGUCCUGCUGCUGCUGUGAUCUCUACUAGGACUCCUACCAGACUCAAGAGGACACAGCUGAUUCUCCAAAACGGAUCAUUUAUAUCUUUUAUCAUUUUUGCCAAUGUGCUAGACAUAAAGGGUAACCUUCAGACUUUUGAGCUUCUGCUGUCUCUGAAAGGCAAUCAAUAAAGGAAUCUGGAUGUUUUUCUUUAUUUUGCACCAAUCUGUCAAAUUUUCCCCAUGCAUUUGGUUUUGAGCAACACAUCUUAAUGGCUUGGAGCAAGUCUUCCC